GUGGUUAGUUCAUAUUGUUGUUCCUCCUAUGAGGUUGCAAACCCCUUUAGCUCCUUUAUUGGGGACCCUGUGCUCAGUCCAAUGGAAGGCUGCAAGCAUCUACCUCUUUAUUUGUCAGGCCCUGGUGGUGCCUCUCAGGAGACAGCUAUAUCAGGCUCCUGUCAGCAAGCUCUUGUUGGCAUCCACAAUAGUGUCUGGGUUUGGUGAUUGUAUAUGGGAUGGAUCCCCAGCUGGGGAAGUUUCUGGAUGGCCUUUCCUUCAGUCUCUGCUCCACACUUUGUAACUCCUCCCAUGGGUAUUUUGUUCCCCCUUCUAAGAAGGAUCAAAGUAGCCAGGAGCUGGAAAGAAUCCAGAUGUCCCUCAACAGAGGAAUGGAUACAGAAAAUGUGGUACGUUUACACAAUUGGAGUACUACUCGGCUAUUAAAAACAAUGAAUUCAUGAAAUUCUUAGGCAAAUGGAUGGAACUAGAAAAUACCAUCUUGAGUGAGAUAACCCAGUCACAAAAGAACACACAUGGUAUGCAUUCACUGAUAAGUGGAUAUAUUAGCCCAGAAGUUCGGAAUAACCAAGGUAUAAUUCACAAACCACAUGAAACUCAAGAAGAGGGAAGACCAAAGUGUAGAAUUCUUUUAAAGUUUAAGUUUAUUUUAUGUUCUUUUUUUUUUUUUUUCUUUUUAGCUACAUGUACAUCUGUGAAGAUGUCAGAAGUCCAGGAACUGGAGUUACAGAUGGGUAUGAGCUGCCAUGUGGGUGCUGGGAAUUGAACCCAAGCCUUCUAAAAGAACUCUCAAAAGUGCUCUUAAUAGCUCUGGCCACCUUUUUGUUUGUUUUGUUUUGUUUUUUGUUUUUUGUUUUUCGAGACAGGGUUUCUCUGUGUAGCCCUGGCUGUCCUGGAACUCACUCUGUAGACCAGGCUGGCCUCGAACUCAGAAAUCUGCCUGCCUCUGCCUCUGCCUCCCGAGUGCUGGGAUUAAAGGUGUGCGCCACCAGUGCCCAGUAGCUCUGGCUAUCUUGCCAGCCCCCAAAAUAGAAGUCUUUAGAACAUACACAUGUAAAUUCAGAAGACACAGUUUUGAGAGAUAUACUUGUGUUGCAUCUAGAUUAACCCAGAACUCACAUUCUGGCUCAUGCGGCCCUUAUCUUCUCAUACAGUGGGGCCUACCUGUUUAUGCUAUUCUCUCCCUCACAGUACACUGAGACAUAUUAUUUCUGUCCCCUAGGCACAUAACCUGUAGGUAAACAGUUAUAGAAUGCUUUCAAAUACCAAGAUGGUGAGGAUUUGGGCUGUUUGUGUUUAUCUCUUUAUAAACAAGUGUCCUUUAGUUACUAAGUGACAGGGUGGCUUAAUGUAUAGGGCUUUGGUUUGUUUUGGAGUUUUUAGGCAGUAAUUGUGUGUGUGCAUGUGUAUGUCCAUGUGUGUACUCUGGUACAUGGCAUGGCCGAGGGCAGAGGACAGCGUUUAGGAGUCAGUUCUCUCCUACCUGGUGGUUCUCAUGAACUCAGGUCAGGUCGUUUGGCAGCAGCCUUUCUAGCCAUCGCAUCAGCCAGCAUU
rnacentral:lncRNA from 1 species